rnacentral:lncRNA from 1 species
AACUUUAAAAUUUAUCAGUUUGUGAAUUAACAAAAUCUUGCAUGGUCACUCCCUUUAAAAAAUGAAGUGACUUUGUUUAGUUUAGUUCAGUUGAACUACGAUAUAGAUGACCCCUAGGAGUGAGGAAACUCAAGGGAGAAUGGUUGCUUUUACAGUAAAGGGAAUUUUUUGAGAUGUGAUCUCCGURUGUAUUCCAUAAUCAGGCUUCCUUACUACUGAGAGACAGUUAUGUUCUUCUCUUUCUGUCUCUGGAAAGGGGACACAGUGACACCAAGGGCAUAAGGGCAGUCUGAAUACACACUCUUGGCCUAAAGAAGCCAAAUUCAGGUGCAUGAGGAUCCAUGAAUAUUGAGAGUGUAGCUGAUAUGUAUUUCGAAGAAGUGGAUGUUGUGAGCCUGAUCAGUUCACCAUGGAGCCACAGGAACAGUGUUGCUACAACAUUUAGCAGUGUGAGGGCAGGAUUUUUCAGCAAGACUGGGACUGCUUAAGAAACAUCCCCAUCACUGCCUAAAACUCAAAUCACCCAUGAAGCUAAAAUGCUAGAUGAGCUGAUGUUAUUGUAUGUGAUUCUUUUCCUUAACUUCAAGGAGAGUGGUAACUUCUGGCAGGGGAACAAGAGGAACUGCUGAGAAUGGUCAUAUGCUAAAUUAUUGCAGUAAAAUCUGCCAAAUGCUCAUUGCUUUCAUUUUGGGUCAUUGAUAACUUUCCAGGCAAGGCAUAAAGAAUGAUAUAUGUGGGCUGCACAGCCAAUGGAGAAAUAGAAAUUAGUGGGCUGUUUCUUUUUUAAAAUGAGAAAUGAUUGAAGACACUGAGGUCAAAUCUUACAUUAUGUUAAAACUGGAAAUUUUAGAGUUAAAGAAGUAAAAUUCCAAAUAGAGUUUGGAGCAGCAGUGGAAGAGCAGAUGCAUCAUASAAAGUACAGCUAAGGAGGGGCAUAUAGAGAAAAAGGAUGAGUUACAAGCUUUGGGUCUUGCUCUUCUAGAUUUCAGUAGCUGAAAUCCUAUUAGCUUGGCAGGUGGCAAGUUUGAGUUGUACCAAAAGCUUGGGGGCAAGGGAAGCGGCUCCUAUUUAACAGUCGCACAAAAUAAAUGCAUCUGAGAGUACCUUAAAAAAAAAAUU